rnacentral:rRNA from 1 species
UACGAAGGGGGCUAGCGUUGUUCGGAAUUACUGGGCGUAAAGGGCGCGUAGGCGGUCCUGAUCGUCGGAUGUGAAAGGCCUGGGCUCAACCUGGGAACUGCAUCCGAUACGGCGGGACUGGAGUGUGGGAGAGGUUGGUGGAAUUCCCAGUGUAGAGGUGGAAUUCGUAGAUAUUGGGAAGAACACCGGUGGCGAAGGCGGCCAACUGGACCACAACUGACGCUGAGGCGCGAAAGCGUGGGGAGCAAACAGG